CACACUGAUUAUUACUAAAGUGGUAAUGUAUAGGUAAUGUGCAUGUAGUAGGCCUACACACAUUAGGCUACAUACCUCUAAAUUAUCUUGGUAUAUAAAUAAAUACCUGGUGUAGAGGGUUGUUACUUGGAGGGGUUGCUUCGGUCGCCUGCUGUCGCCAGUGUUGCCAACUAAUUUUCAGGAAGGAUGGCUGUGGCUAUGUGGAUGGUGGAGAGCAGAGCACUGUAGGGAGAGACACAACCCCAGGAACAGCCCAGACAAAACCACACCAGCCAAACAGUCAGGGGGUUCUGCCUUCUGUUUCUUGCACUACUUCACUCUUUUGUUCCCCACUGUCCCUCCUGCCUGGCAUACCAGUCUGGAAGAAGUCAUUUGGGGAGUAUUGCGGGGGAGGAGAGGGGGAAUUGUAGCGAUGGUGGUGAGGGCUGCAGCUCAGCUAUGACCUCAUCCUCUCUUUCUCCCGUGGAGGGAGUGAGAUCAUGGCUGUCGUAAAGAGGCAUGAAUGGUGUCUUAACUGGCCCAGACAGUACUGGAUCACCCACCUAAUUGCUGAAAUCCAAUUGGCUCCUUAACAACCCUGUGCCCAGGAUAAAUGGACAUUUGUGGAAGUAUGAAGCACACUCUGCCUAGAUGACAAAUGUGCAAUCUAUUUUAACAUAAAUUAUGUUUUCUCUUUGUGUCUAGACCUAUUAUGUGGUUUUCUUUGCAGAUGUUGCAUCACCAUGCUUUUGCAUAGGUGGGCAUGUCUUGGAGAGUAUGGCAGGCAGGCACCUCACAUCUCCCAUUUGCUUGCUCAAUAUGUGUGUGUCAGACUUUGCUGAGGAUGACAGUUUGUUGGUGUAGGUGUUAAUUAUUGUGCAGAGGAAAUCCUUUUUCCUCUUUUACAAAUUGUCCCACCUCAUUUACAUAAUUUUGAGUGGCAUAGCCUAACUUGUUAUUAAGCCAUACUAAUCAGCAAAAGAGUGUUGGAAUGAGGAACAUCUGAGAGGAAAAAAGAGGAAACUGUAAUUAUGCAAAGCUUUUAGUCUCUUUUGAUGAGUUUUCAAUUGUUAUUCAACCAGAACAAGCAUUUCAUUAAUCUGGUCAAGUGUCUGAAAUGCAUAGCCGCAGGAAGUAGUUUUUGGGUAUAUAACUGGUCCCUAAUAUAGGACUAGUAAAGGCCCAGGGCACUACUUAACAACAUUUGUAACUUGAGUCUGAUAAUUAUCUGUACAUAACAGUUAAUCUGAUAAUUCUUGUGGAAAAUAAUAAUAGUUGCUUGAUAUAUGUUUUCCAGUUUCUUUCUAUGUGAAAACUGAAAUAGUCUAUUAAUUCCUUUUAAGUAGACACUCUUAUUCCAAGACAUACAUAUUCAUACUGGUCCCCUGUGGGAAUUGAACCCACAACCCUAGCAUUUCAAGUGCCAUGCUCUACCAACUGAGCCACAUCAUAUCAUCACCAAACCACUUGCUGUCUCUAUGUACUCAAUGACCAGCCUAUGUACAAUAUAUUUACAUUAAGUUGUUUGUAAGGAUGGUAUAUUAAUACUGCACAAAAAGUGGCUGUUUUCUAUGUUAUUUCAUCAAGAUAAAUAUUUCAUUUGAUGUGGAUGUUUUGUGUCUUUACCCAAAACUUAGCACCUUUAGAUGUACAUGUUUGAGGACAGGGUUUUGUUCUUUCUGGAAUCCAUUAGAAUGACAAUCUCAGAGAAAGGGACAGGGCAACAACUCUUACAAAGCGGACACACUUUUUUGCCCAUGCUACAGAAGUCUAUAAUCGGUCUGCUAAUGCUAGUAAAGGCC
rnacentral:lncRNA from 8 species